rnacentral:lncRNA from 1 species
GCGAAGUACAAAGCACGGUGCGCUUAGAGCGAGCGGAGUGGAGUGCAGCGGGGCGGCGGAGGUGGCAUAUUUUUCCAGAAUGGUCUACAUUGCCUUGUAAUAGGCUUCUACAGAGAAGAGGGUGAAAUAAGGAAAUCUGGAUUAAAAUGUUACCAUUUGGGAUGGAAAGGAGAGCCAGGAACCAGAUUGUUUCAUAAAGUCCAGCCUAGUGAUCUUCCACUAACCUAGGCUACAGAACCAUUCUGUGGAAUUAGAGCGGUUCUAUUGCUUUAAUUGUAAGUAUAAAUGUAAGUAUCUGUUGCUGGAAAUUCUAU